ACGCGACAUCAGAGAGCCUUGACUGAACCUCUGUGUGGGAAACUCACUGUUUUCUGCUGAGAGUAGCAUCCUGUGUUCCCGUUAACUUUAUUUACACGCCCUGUGUUUCAGCUUCUGUCCCUGCAGAUGCUUCAGAACCACUUUCUCUGCCGUAAAUCUGAUUAAAGUGUCGUCAGUUAGCAGCGGUGCUUAAGCUAGCGGUGCUAUGCUACGUUAGCUUACACACGAGGAGCUCAUGUGUUAGCAUCGUUUACAAACUGAAAACAGACUAACUGUGAGGAAAACCUGCUCCGGGACAGCCUGACAGGUUUGUCAUAGAUUCACAUUCACAAUGAUAACUCCGGCCUUUGACCUGAGUCAGGAUUCAGAGUUCCUGAUCCUCAGCAUCCGGGUCCCUUACACCAGAACAUCAGAGUUUGACCUUUACAUCGACGGAACAGACUUCAAGUUCUUUGCCAAACCAUAUUUUCUCAAAUUAACUCUUCCUGGAAGAAUAGUAGAGGAUGGAAGAGAAAAGGCCACAUUUGACAUUGAUAAAGGACUCUUUAGUCUUCGGGUCCCAAAGGAGACGACAGGAGAACACUUUGAAGGCCUCCAGUUGCUGACAAGCCUCCUCGCCCCAAAAGGAUCCCGCUCAGCGAAGCCCCUGGUGGAGGACGUGAGCACGACUUGCAGUAACAAUGCAGGAGACAAUGAAGAGCAGGAAGAGGACGACGAAGAAGAUGAAUUUGACUGGCAAAUUGAGCAGCAGGUGUAUGAGGAGAUUUCUGAAGAGGAGCUGAGAGGCCUCAAUAAAUAUGGCUUUGGAAAUCAGAGGUCUGGAGUGUUCGCCAGACUCCAGGAGGAACUUGGCGACGUAAUCGACAUCAAGAACCCAGAAGGCACCACGGCGGCAGAAAGGAGGCAGCGGCGACUGGAAGCAGAGGCAUCUGCUUUCUCUGCCGACCAUUACCUGGCUGAUCGGUUUGAGGAUGAUGAGAUACAGGGGCUUCUCAAGUUUAAACCAUGGUGGACAAAGCUGCAGCCGGCGUCAGAUCCACAAGGAGAAGCAGCCGUUUCAUUCACCAGUGAUGAAAAGGCGCAGCUGAGAAAAUUCUCCAACCGCUCGUACCUGCUGGACAAGACGUCCCGUCACCAAGCGUGGCUCAGCCUGGUGGACAUCCUGCUGGCUUAUUCCUAUGAAGUGCGCUCCACGGAGGGAGAGCACAAUGUGGAGUCACCGUGGACCAUCAGAAAACUCAGUGGGACUCUUUGCUGGCUGGAGACGUUUAACUCCUUACGGGACGUCCUGGUGUCAUUCGGACGGAGGGCUGUGUGUUUUCCGCUCUACAGACACUUUUCCAUGGUCACUGCAGCUCUACGCGACACCGUAAAGAUUUUGCACUCAGGGAGAGCCUGCGUCCUCAAAUGCCUGCUCGAUAUUCACAGAGUCUUCCGAGAGAACGACCCGGCCUACAUACUGAACGAUCUGUACAUCACAGACUACUGCAUCUGGAUCCAGAGGGUCAAGUCCAAGAAGGUGCUAGCCCUGGCAACAACGCUGGAAAAGGUUUCCCUGAAGAAAAAAGACUUGGAGCUGGAACUGGAGGAGCUGGAGGAAGCAGCAACACUGGUGGCAGAAGAGGAAGAGGAGGAGGAGGAGGAAAAUGAGGAGGGAGCCUCCAGGAGCGAUGCAGUAUCCCGCGGCGACAGCAGCAGCAGCGAGUCGUCUGACGAGAGCGACGACUCCGAGGCUGAAGGGCAAGACUGCACAGAUCCCAGCGAGGAAGAGGGAGGAGGAAGAGGAGGGGGUGGGGUAGGAGGAGGAGGGGGAGGGACGUCUAAGGACAGCCCUCCCCAGCCCCGACCCACCAACUCCACCAGCUCUCAAGUCCCCCGGGAGCUUCCAAACACACUCCUGUCAGCGGUGGAGCAGGAAGCAGAUGCCCACCCCUCGGUCUCUCCCAGCUCCAGGCGGCUGAUCCAGGAUCUGGAGGAACGAGUGGCCGAGGAGCUGAGAAUCACUCAAGGCUCACAUUCUGGCGACCGAGCUGAGAGGAGCAGCUCAGAGGCGAACGCUACCACAGCACAGACUGAAGCCACGCCAGGGAGAAGCUGCACUCGGACCCUCUUGGAGCCGAGUCCUCGAAAAAACCCUCUGCUCAUCGUCCAGACGCAGGAAACCGACGAUUAGAGCGGCUCCAAAGUGCCAUCUGAAGUGGAAUUUAAGUACGUUUAUAACUCAACAUAUCACUCAGCCAAAGUACCCGGCUGGCAGAGCUACUUCGAGGGAGCUAUUCUUUUCUUAAUAAAUAGCAGGAAAAGCACUAACCUCUUCCUAAAGCCCCGGCACUGAUUGAAGUGGAAAAGACUCUGUCGGCGCUAAACAGGGGCUGUGGAGCAGGCAAGGAGUGAUUGAUUCAUCUGGCGUGAACGGAGGAGCGCCGGGCGACACAGCUCAAUAUCAUCGGCAGCGUCUAGCAGGCGAGAGAAAACAAACAAGGAAGCACAUGUCAGGCAGAUAGAUGAGGGCUGUGAGCGAGGCUGCGGCACUGGAGCUGUUUGUUCGAGAGAUAAGAGCACCCCAGGGCCCGCGAGGAUGGAGGAGCCGGGGGCCGCCACGGACCAUCUGACACCUCAGCCAUGUCUCAGCACUGGAUCCAUGUCCUCCAUUAUAGUAGUAAUAAUAAUAUGUUUAAUUUAUAAAGCACUUUUCAUGGAGAGGAGUCUCAAAGUGCAACAGCGAAAUGAAAAUACAAAAAUAACACAAGAAGCCGCUGAUUAAAGGAGUGAUAUUUUGCUUUUUUAAAUGGAAUUAUGCAUUUUCAAACAUUUCC